UUUAACUGAAGAGUUUGAUCAUGGCUCAGAUUGAACGCUGGCGGCAGGCUUAACACAUGCAAGUCGAGCGGGGGAGGUUGCUUCGGUAACUGACCUAGCGGCGGACGGGUGAGUAAUACUUAGGAAUCUGCCUAUUAAUGGGGGACAACAUCUCGAAAGGGAUGCUAAUACCGCAUACGCCCUACGGGGGAAAGCAGGGGAUCACUUGUGACCUUGCGUUAAUAGAUGAGCCUAAGUCGGAUUAGCUAGUUGGUGGGGUAAAGGCCUACCAAGGCGACGAUCUGUAGCGGGUCUGAGAGGAUGAUCCGCCACACUGGGACUGAGACACGGCCCAGACUCCUACGGGAGGCAGCAGUGGGGAAUAUUGGACAAUGGGGGGAACCCUGAUCCAGCCAUGCCGCGUGUGUGAAGAAGGCCUUAUGGUUGUAAAGCACUUUAAGCGAGGAGGAGGCUCUUUUGGUUAAUACCCAAGAUGAGUGGACGUUACUCGCAGAAUAAGCACCGGCUAACUCUGUGCCAGCAGCCGCGGUAAUACAGAGGGUGCGAGCGUUAAUCGGAUUUACUGGGCGUAAAGCGUGCGUAGGCGGCUUUUUAAGUCGGAUGUGAAAUCCCCGAGCUUAACUUGGGAAUUGCAUUCGAUACUGGGAAGCUAGAGUAUGGGAGAGGAUGGUAGAAUUCCAGGUGUAGCGGUGAAAUGCGUAGAGAUCUGGAGGAAUACCGAUGGCGAAGGCAGCCAUCUGGCCUAAUACUGACGCUGAGGUACGAAAGCAUGGGGAGCAAACAGGAUUAGAUACCCUGGUAGUCCAUGCCGUAAACGAUGUCUACUAGCCGUUGGGGUCUUUGAGACUUUAGUGGCGCAGCUAACGCGAUAAGUAGACCGCCUGGGGAGUACGGUCGCAAGACUAAAACUCAAAUGAAUUGACGGGGGCCCGCACAAGCGGUGGAGCAUGUGGUUUAAUUCGAUGCAACGCGAAGAACCUUACCUGGUCUUGACAUAGUAAGAACUUUCCAGAGAUGGAUUGGUGCCUUCGGGAACUUACAUACAGGUGCUGCAUGGCUGUCGUCAGCUCGUGUCGUGAGA
rnacentral:rRNA from 1 species